rnacentral:rRNA from 1 species
ACUCCUACGGGAGGCAGCAGUGGGGAAUAUUGCACAAUGGGCGCAAGCCUGAUGCAGCCAUGCCGCGUGUGUGAAGAAGGCCUUGGGUUGUAAAGCACUUUCAGUCGUGAGGAAGGUAGUGUAGUUAAUAGCUGCAUUAUUUGACGUUAGCGACAGAAGAAGCACCGGCUAACUCCGUGCCAGCAGCCGCGGUAAUACGGAGGGUGCGAGCGUUAAUCGGAAUUACUGGGCGUAAAGCGCAUGCAGGUGGUUUGUUAAGUCAGAUGUGAAAGCCCGGGGCUCAACCUCGGAAUAGCAUUUGAAACUGGCAGACUAGAGUACUGUAGAGGGGGUAGAAUUUCAGGUGUAGCGGUGAAAUGCGUAGAGAUCUGAAGGAAUACCGGUGGCGAAGGCGGCCCCUGGACAGAUACUGACACUCAGAUGCGAAAGCGUGGGAGCAAACAGGAUUAGAU